GGGAGUGUGGCUCAGUGAUAAAACACUUGCCUAGCAUGUGCAAGGUCCUGGGUUCGAUCCCCAGCACUGCCU
rnacentral:tRNA from 1 species